UACGGGGGGGGCAAGCGUUGUCCGGAAUUACUGGGCGUAAAGGGCUCGUAGGCGGCCAACUAAGUCAGACGUGAAAUCCCUCGGCUUAACCGGGGAACUGCGUCUGAUACUGGAUGGCUUGAGUUUGGGAGAGGGAUGCGGAAUUCCAGGUGUAGCGGUGAAAUGCGUAGAUAUCUGGAGGAACACCGGUGGCGAAGGCAGGUCUCUGGGCAUUAACUGACGCUGAGGAGCGAAAGCAUGGGGAGCGAACAGG
rnacentral:rRNA from 1 species